ACCACACUGAGAUACACUGAGUGUAUGUGUGUGUGUUUGUGCUGCAUGGGAACAGCCAGAGAAUGGAGGUGGAGGUGGAGAGGAGAGCAGGGGGAGGAUCCAAUGCUGCGGACGACUUUCUUUUCACUAACUCUGGAGUUGAGUUUAGAAAAGUCUGAAAUGACAAAUAAGAAAGCAAUGAGCUCCGAGCAGCAGUGAUCCUGGACUAAAUCUGAAUCCUCAGCACAGGCGGCUUCUUUCCUGCAGUCCACAGCAGAUUUAUACCUAAACUAUGUUGAGAGUUUCCUCUCUUUCCCACACUUAUAAGAGCUGCAACUCUCCACCAGACGAGGGCCGGAUCUCAGCACACAUUCUCUCUGGCUUCUCAUGCCUGCAGGAGCUGGAUCUUUUCCUCAAGAUGACACACCUUGAUCCUAGGCAUGUGUGGCCCAAGGCGGGCCUGUAGAGACAUGUCUGAAGGGUUGCUAUGGGAAAAGUCUGGUUGUCACCCGUGUCUGAAGCAUACAUUGAAAAACACAAACAACACUUUGGCCGGCGACAGCCCAUGAUGUCACUACCGGUGCGACUAUAGAAUAAAUAGGCACUGGGAGAACACUUCAUCCUCUUCUUCAUCUUCACUGACUGUUUUGUUUGAAGAAUGCAUUGUG